GAUCAUGGCUCAGAACGAAUGCUGGCGGCAGGCUUAACACAUGCAAGUUGAGCGGGAUUGAUUGAUAGCUUGCUAUUAAUCAUGAGAGCAGCGCACUGGUGAGUAACACGUGGGAACAUACCUUUUUGGUGGGGGACAACAGUUGGAAACGACUGCUAAUACCGCAUAAGCCCUGAGGGGGAAAGGAGAGAUUUUGCCGAAAGAUUGGCCCGCGGAAGAUUAGGUAGUAGGUGGGGCAACGGCCUACCUAGCCGACGAUCUAUAGCUGGUCUGAGAGGACGAUCAGCCACAUUGGAACUGAGACACGGUCCAGACUCCUACGGGAGGCAGCAGUGAGGAAUAUUGGGCAAUGGAGGGAACUCUGACCCAGCCAUGCCGCGUGAGUGAAGAAGGUUUUCGGAUUGUAAAGCUCUUUCGGACGGGAAGAUAAUGACGGUACCGUCUAAAGAAGCACCGGCUAACUUCGUGCCAGCAGCUGC
rnacentral:rRNA from 1 species